rnacentral:lncRNA from 1 species
GAGGCCGGUAUGGCGGAGAGGAUGAUGGGAGCUUCCGAGCCAGGGAACUCUUCUAAUUGCAGGUAAGGUAAAGAAUUGGAGAAAUUGAGGGUGAAGAGAAGAGAGAAUUGGGAAGAAUAAGAAGAGAAGAGAGUAGAGUUGAGAGGGUUAGGGAUAGAAGAGAGAUAGAGAAGAAAAGAGAGAUUGAGGAAGAAGAACUUGUAAUAUAUUUCAUCAUGUCCCCUUACAUUACAGUUCACGAUAUAUAUAUACGUCUAACCUAUCAGUACUGAAAUGAAAUUAACAACUAUGUGGGGGUGAUAACAGCAAAAAUGAUAAAUAAAGGUGUUGGCUCGCUGGGCUGCUAUUGGUGGUUGAUGGGCCUCCGUCUGAGCUUGACUGGUCCAAUACUGCCUGAUAACGAGUAAUAGGAUCUCGGGUCCCCCUUCUCUGCACUAUCCACUACCCACCGGGUCGCGGGCUCGCCUUUUCCCUCCGAUCCGCGCUUCGACCAUUCCGCUCCAUCAGGCCGAAGUAUUACUACUUCCUCUGCUCCCUAGAUUCGUUCGAGAUCUUCCCCUUCUCCCUCUCCAACGAUGCCCUACUCCCCUCCAUGGCUCACCGGAACCCCUCUUCUUCGCUGGACCAUCUUGCCUAGCCGGACUCGCCUCCGACGCACCGCUCACCGGACCCGCUCGCCGAUCACUCCGCUCCACCUUGCUGCCAGCACUUAUCUCUUCUACUUAGUAAGCUACCUUCUUCCCUUCCUUCUCCUACUAAUUACUACUCUUGUUAUUCGCAGGCCUUACAACGCCGCAGGGACUACCGUUGCUGCUGCGGCCUCCUCCCUCCGUCUACAGGUUAGCUAUAAAUAAGGAUAAGAGUAAGAAGAAUAAGUCGAUCGAGGAAUAGCCAAGGAUCAGAGAAUAUAUAGGAUUUUUGCUAAUUCUUGAUCAUGGCAUCCCCACCCAACAGAGACCAGCAACGGGAGAAAGACUACGCAGAUGCCGACGUUGGGGCUUAUCAGAGCGCUGGCCUUCCUCGGCGUAGCGCUUAUUUCCAAGUUGGUCGGAGGGGCCCUCCCCGCUCGACAAGCUAUACCAAGAUCGACACCUGUGGAAGAGGCCCGCAACAGCACCAGGUGAGAUAAUGGCACGGGGAAGGAGACGCAGCGACGACCACUGUUCCGGCCACUGUGGCCUCCUUCCUCUGUCGAGAAUUCUACAUAACUAAUCAAUCCCCCCAUGUUUUUUCUUACUAAUCACAAACUUUACGCACAUACAUGCAUGCAUCUUAUUUUCAGUUUCUUGGUAAUUACAACGGUGGUGCAAUUUGAUAUAUAUAUAUAUAUGUAUAUAUGUAGUAGGGUUGCAAAAGAAGGCAGAGGAGGCGAGGAAGAGGGAGGAUCAAGAAGAAGAAGAUAAUAGUGAGACCCAAAAUAUUAUUUUUUACGGGAGUUUAUUUGGAGAUAUCUUAGAUUGACAAUCCACCUUACAAUAUUCUCUAAUUUCCUACUUUUUUUCUCCCCCUGUAGAUGUGUUCGAGAAGAUCAGUCUUCUGUGACGCUUAAGUUGUAUUACCUUCAAAAUGGAAGUGCAAGACUUGGAUUCUGGUAACUGCUCAUGAACUGAUACUAUAUCUAAUUUUUGAGAUACUGAAAGUGUUAUUUGCUUAUGAUGUUUUUAGGAUUAGAGGGAGGGAAUUCUUGCUUCCUGUGGGGAUUGUUUUAAAGGUGAUGUGUAACGAACACUUCUAUCAGAGACAUUUGUUUCCUACCUUGGUGGUACUCUUGAUUUUUUGCUAUUAAUUAUAUCGAAUUUUCUGUUUGGCUUUCUCUACUGUUGUUUUGUCAAAACCAAUACUUAAGUGAUUUCUUUGGAAAUCUAAAUGUGUUUCUUUUAAAUGUGCAGUAUUUUGAAUCAUGCUUCAUUCUUUAAAUUACAUAAUUUGGCUCCACAUCUUUUAGAUUUUUAGACUACAUGUUUAUUUGCUCUGUAAAAUCAAUUAUCUUUGACUCUUUAGAUGGCGUAACUUGGCUUUAGAAGAAUUGAACUUUUCGAAAACAUGAUGUAUUAUGAAAGCAUUUUGUAGUGGUUCUGCUCAUGAUGUUAUUUGGUUAAUAUGAAGGUUGUAAGUAGCUUGGGUUCAUCUGACUCUAAAGAGCAUUUGUUGGCUUGAGUAGUAUCAUUGUUAAAUAGUUCUUUUGCAACUUAUCAAAAGUUGCUCUAACAAUGCAAUUUUCCGUUGCUAAGUUAUCAUCUCAUUUUAUUUCACUUUAUAUCUUUUCGAUUGUUGUGAUGAUGUUUUUUUUUUCUUUUAUAAUCAAUUUUCAAAGUUACUGCUUCACUUGAUCUUUUGCUACUAUUGUUUCAUCUAUUGUAUAUAUGAGUUGGAAACAGAUAUUACAAUUUUACUAUUAAUUCUAAUUUAUUUUUUUCUUCUUAUGUAUACCAAAUACUUUUAAUUACCUUCAAUUUAUUUACAUACAAUUUUUGACGAAAUCAGGUUUUCUUUAGUCCACGUGGAGGUAUUUCCUUAAUUUGGGCAGGUAUACUUUUUGAUUAAAUUCCAUUUUCUUUUGUCGACAUAUCAGUAUUUUCUUAUAUUUGAGCUUUUGUACGAAAUACCUGUCAGUUUAACUAUUUUGCUUAAUUAUAGGUUUGUAUAGGAUUUGUGUCAGCACUAUGUGUCAGCUUAACUUAUCUAUCAGCUUAACUCAUAUUUUACAAAGUAAAUUAACUAGGAUGGCAAUUGCGAAAUAAUUGCAACCAGUGUGUUCUGUAUAUUAUUUUUUUCGAUUGUUGUGAUGGUGUUUUUUUGCUAUUCCUGUUUAAAAUUAUUUACUAUAAGUUCUGCAAUUUAUAUAUUCUAAUUAAUUUUGUAAGUUGCUGCUUCACUUGAUUUUUGUACUACUGCAAUCGUAUAUUUUUGGGACAGCCGGUUAGUAACAUUUCUUAACCAACUUUUCCUAUUAGUCUUAUUUCAUUCUUUUUUUAAUUCUUUAUUGACUAUUGUCUUUUCUUUCAUCUAACUCUUGCACUCUUUCCUCGACUUCUACAGCUCUUAAUUUUGUUGUAUCUAUGGUCAUUCCUGCUGCUGGUGCAUUAACUGCUUAUACUUUUAUUUGUUUGUUAUUUAAAAUUUUAUAGUUCUUUUAUGUAUUUACUAUUUCGUCUUUCUUUAGCUUUUUUUUAUAAGAUCUCAAAUAUUUCUUCAGUUUAACUACGCAUCAAAUUUUAUUCUUUUAUGUUUUAUUUUUCUUACUCUUUUUUUUUUUCUCUAUGUUGCAAGUAUGAUAUGUUAUUUACAUUAUAACGAAAAUAAUUAAUUAUUAUAAGUUAAAUAUCGAAUAUUAUCUACCCGCCGCAUCGCGCGGGUCACUGCACUAGUAAUACAAUAUGUAAGCAAAUAAAAGGAUAACAAGUAAAUUAAACAAUUUCAUUACUGAGUCAUAUCUCUACUUGAUAAAAUUAAAUACCAUGUACAUUAUGUUCUAAUGCCACAUGUUCAGUUAUAUACUUAUGCAGGUUUACAUACAUGUUCAUCUUUACUGGGUUAAUUACACCAAUGGUCCCUAACAUUUACACUGUUUUUCAAUUUGGUCCCUAACUUUUUGUUUUUUACAAUCACGUCCCUAAUCUCUUAAUUUCAUUACAAUUAAGUCUCAGUUGUUAGAUAGGUGUUAAAAUUAACGAAAAAUGCCACGUCAGCACCACGUCAGCGCCACGGAAGUGUCGUGUCACCGCCAUGUGGCGCUAUGUCAGCGAAUUGCAAAAAAAAAAAGGGUUGGGGAUCAAAUUAAAAAACGGUGCAAAGGUGGGGGACCAUUGGUGUAAUUAACCCAUUAAAUUUAUAAAUUCAAAACAAGAUUUUUAAUUUAAUAUUUAAAUUUUAAAUUUUAAAUUUUAUUUUGGAUUCAAAUUUAAAUUGGAAUUUAUAUUUUGAUUUUGUAUUUAAUUAUAAAUUUUUAAUUCUAAAUUUAAAUUCACAUUUCAAAUUCUAAAUUCUAAUUUAAUUUCAAACUUUCAUUUGAAAUUUCAAAUUCAAAAUGUGAAUUUGAAUUCGAAGUUUAAAUUCAAAUUUAGAAUUGAAAUCAAAUCUUAAAUUCAAAUUUAAAAUUUAAAAGCAAAAUUUUGAAUAUGAUUUUAAAUUUAAAUUUCGGUUUCAAAACUUUCAUUUUAAAUGUAAAUUGAAAUAUAUAUCAAAAUCAAAAUCAAAAUUUUCAGUUUGAAUUCAAAAUUUAGCUUCAAUUAAAAAUUUAAAUUUAAAGUUUGAAUUUAAAUUCAAAAUUUUAUUUCAGCUUUAAAUUCAUAUUCAAAAUUCUAAUUUCUCGUUAGUUUAAAAUUUUAAUUUUAAUAUUAUUUUUAAAUUUAAAUUUAAAUUUUUGUAUUUUUAUAUUUAGGGACUAAAUUGAAAAACGUGCAAAGUUUAGGGACCUAAAUUAACAUGCAAAAGGAUGCCAAAUAGGCGCUGACGUGAUGAUUUUGUCAAUUUUAAUCCUUUUUUUAACGAUUGGAACGUAAUUGUAAUAAAAUCAAAAGAUUAGGGACUCAAUUGUAAAAAAAAGAGGUUGAGGACUCAAGUGAAAAUUGGUGCAAAGGUUGGGGACUAGGUGUAAUUAACCCCAUCUUUGCUAUAAUGCCACAAAAAGUAAUUUAUAUCUUCAUUGCUAUUAUAACUGUACAUUUAUACUAAUCAAUAUAGAUGUAGGUUUACUACCACUAAAGUUUUCAAUACCAAUAAUGAGUAGCAUAAAGUCCAUUUUCUAGAAAUCCAUCAAAAGAGCCACGAGAUAGUAAUCCACUAGUAUGUCCAUCUACUAUAUAUGCAUUAACCACGGGUGAUGUAUAAUGUCCAGUUAAGUCACAUUUAUCCAAUUAACGAGGGCUUUACACGUGGUAACGUCCCGGCUCGUGCCAUGCCGAAUGGCACUGUGGUAGCAUACACUCCCCAUGGCAGUCCACUUCGGUGCCUAAUCCUACACGAACGAUCUAUCGUCGCAAGGCCAACUCCGGAGUGCCGACUUGUAGGGAGCGAUCCUCACAAGUAUGUGCGAAUGAGUAUAAGGGCAAGUAAGCGUGAUCAUAUAUAACAUAGGGUCCACAAAUCAAAUACUCAAUCAUCAUGUCUAAAAUAUGAAAUUUCCUCAUCGACUCGAUGGUCGGAUACUUGAUCAUUCAUGUCAUGAUUUGUUCACAAUUACUUGGGUGGUAUACCCCUACCAAUACAUAAUAUGCCUUAAAUAUGUAUUAGUUCACAUCUCUAUAUCCUAUUUAGGAGGACUCACUAUUUUGGCUACAAUCCAAUGAGGUUUCAUAAACAUGCAAUUCCCACUAUAGUUAAGGAAGUCAUUUUCUAAUGCCAUAUGCAAAGGAGUUACAAGAUGUUCAUAAGAUUAUAAUACUAGUUAUGCACAUGCUUUCUACCAAAACCUCCACUACAUAGAGUAAAUGAAUUAUCAUACAAGUGGCUUCAUUCGACUAAUGUUAUAUGCAAGUGGCUUCAUUCAACUAAUCUCAUUCCUUAUGUCUAAAACACGGAAUACAACUAUUGAUCUCUAGAUCGAAUACAAUAUCAUAAUGUCAAAUUCUAGUUGUUCAAGUAGGUUAAAUACACCAUGCUUAGCUUCAUGUUUAUUCUUAUCAUGCACUAUAUCACAUUUACCUUAUCUAUCACAAGUAUAUAGUUCAACAUGCAAGUUAAACACUUUUUCUAUUCCAUUCACUAAGUAUACUCUAUAGGAUGAACCAUCAUUCUUCUCUAACAUGCUUAAGAGGAAAUCAUCAAGAAGUAAUAUUACACACCAUCUAGAGCCAUUUUGUAUUCAAGUCCACAUAAUAAUACUCUACUAAAUAGAGUAUAGUAUUUCUACAUGUAUCAUGAAUGUAUCAUGUGUUCAAAAAUUCUACCAUGUCAUAUUUAGUAUGAAUAUGCAUCAAAUUAUAUCUUAAAAUUAUAGGGAAGACAUAGAGAGUUCACCCAUUUCGGCAAGGUCAAACCCACUGAAUACUCCUCAAAUCCUUUCGUUCCUUCGAACGAAGUUUUCCACCAAGCUUUUAAUAUCCUAGAAGAAUUUCUAAAAGUGUUACAAGGUUCGAACGAACAUCAUACAAAAAUACCCAAAAAUCUAGUCUAAAUAAGUAGAAAAAUACCUUUAUCUAAGAAGAACUUGAUCAAAAUCCAAAUUGAAGCUAUAAAGCUUUAAAUCCAACCUAAAAGAGAGUUCUACACUUAUCAAUUAAGUUCUAAAAACAUCACAACAAAAAACCCUAGAUUUUUCAUAACUAGGUUUUCAUCUGUAAAUCUUACAAAAUCUACACAUAAAUGUUGCAAUAAGAAUACUAAUCUUCAAGAAAUCUCCAAAUCAAGCUAAACUUGAGCUAGGGUUAGAGUUUAAUUCUAAAAGAAUUUGGGAGAGAAGUCCUAGAGAGAGAUAGGGGAAAAACUCACCUUCACCCUCCUCAAACCUCAGCACAAAGAGGGCCAUGUAGUGGAAAGGGGAUGUCUUAUACAAACUAUAACAAUUUCCAAAAAGCCCCUUAAAACAUCCAAAAAUAGCAAACACCAUGAAAUGCAGUUUCUGCACUACGUACCGGUACCCGGCACCCAGACCUGCCAAACCUGAGCCUCAGUAAAGGGGUCUGUUUACGGUGUACCGGUACCCGCUCGUUACAGUACCUAUACCCGACCCUAGUAUCGGUACUUGGCAACUCUGUAGCAGUACUCAGCACCCCUCAGUCUAAACCCAAGAGCAGCUCUCUCGGACGCGCAAUGGGGUUCCGGUACGCCACCCAGGUACCGGUACUCAAAAUUUCAAAACCUGAAUUUAUAGAUUUUGGUGCUAAAUACUCCUCCUCGCGUUCUCGAACCACGAGUAAUAGGUCGAUACUCAGUCAACGACCUUCUAAAACAUCAGGAAUAGUGCAAAACACUAUUCUAACACUUGAACCUUAUAAUUACUAAAGUUCAAUGUGCUACAGUAAAACUAUCCAAAAUAUUCGAUAUACCAUACUCGAUCCGAACCCAAACCGGACUCUAUCUGGACGCGAACCGGACCUGAUAAAAAAUGAAUAGUAUAGGGAUAAAAAAAGUUACCCAUUAAAAUUUCGAGUAUGGGUCCGGCCUCCAACGGCACUACCACGACGCACGCACGCUCGAACGGCUCCUCAGUGCAACGUCGACGUCGGUCCGAGCUCAUACCGCGACAACCAUCUCGAACACGAUCAAAACUAGAGGGAGAGGGAGAGAGCAGUAAACAAAACCUCACUCUCUACCUCUCUACAAGUAUAUAAAGGGCUGGGGAAAGAUAGGAGUUAACAUCACUUCAAAUGACCAAAAAGCCUCUCACCAACUCCAAAUCCCAGCUGGAGUAUCGGUUCCAGAUUUGGUUACCGGUACUCGGCCCCUCAGCCCGCAGUCUCGCACACCGGGUACCGGUACUUGCCCGAUGCAGUAUCGGUACUCAGCACCAAAUUGGCAAACCCGAGAGCAGUCUAUUCUGGAAAUACACUAGGGUACCGGUACUCCCUUGCGUGUACCGGUACUGAGCACUGAAAAUCUGCACUUUGCAAAUUCCAAUGUCAAAACUCUGCUCUCGCGUCGUACUGAGUCCGUUUUGUAUCCAUUUCACGCCAAAAUGACUCAGACUUGUCACGACACUCUCCAGAUGUGUCGUCAAACCUCAGAUACUGAAAUCACAUAGGAUGCAGAACACCAGGGUUACUACACAAGCGCUUAUUGUUAUCGAGUUCUCGAUCGUUAGAUGAAAGGAUGUGCGGUUAGAAUGAUAAUAGGAGAGAGAGAGAGAGAGAGAGAGAGAGAGUAUGACUACUAUACUCUUAUGAGUAUAGAGGUCUUUGUAAUGAUAAGUUGUUUUCAAUGAUGAGGUUUACGAAUCGACAAUCCACACCAUUAAAUAUGAUCAAAAAAAUUUGAAACUUCUAAAAAAUUAAUGAAUUUCACAAUUUUUUGAAAUUAUAAUAAAAUUGAUCACGCGGACAUAAAAUGAGCCGUCAAAAUUGAACUACAUCCUAAAAAUAAAUAAUCGAUUCUUUAAUAUAAGAUCAUAAUUAUUGAAUUUUAUCUAUAUAGUAGAUAGAAUUUUUUAUCGAAAAUUCAACCAAUUUUGAUUCUUUUACACUGUUAAAUUAGCAAAUAUUCCAUACCGGAUAUUAAAAAUGAUAAAUUUUGAAAUCUUUAAUCGUAACGCAAUUGAUGUCAAAAAAUUAUGAAAUUAGAUUUCUAUAAGUUUCAAAUGUUCUAAAUCAUAUUUAACGGCAUGAAUGGUCGAUUCGAAAGCUUUAUCAUAAAAAAUGACUUAUAAAUACGAAGGCAAACGUACUUAUAAGAGUAGAGUAACCGAACUCUCUAUCUCUCUCUAUAUAUAAUUUAUCUAAAUUAUAAACUAUUUUAAAUCGACUGCUCAACCUGAUUUUAAUUUUGCUAUCCAACCUAUCAAUUUACUUGAUUUAAACUAGUUAUCAAUACUUCGGUUUCAUAAUUUGAAUGCGGCGUUUAUGUUUACAUGUUUAGUUAGCAUAUGUUAUAUAAUUCAUGCUACUGUAAAUUUAUUCAAAUAAACCGACCGUCCCUAGAGCAAGUGGCAAAGGGCUUGGUGGUUGGUACUCGAGGUCCCAUGUUCGAAUCUUAGUUAAUUCAAAUUUCUAGCUAUGUUUAUUUCUAAAUAAAAUAAACGAAGCGGGUAGCUAGCGUGCUAGCUAUCUCUAAAAAAAAAAUUAUUCAAAUAAAAGUUUAAAUUUUGAAUUCAAAAUAUCUUGUAUAACUCAAAUAAAACAAAUUAAAAAGAUGGACAGUAAAAUUAAAAUCUUGAAAGAUAAGUCAAAAAAGGCUUCAAGUAUUUGCUUCUUAUUUCUUGGCAAGGUGAAACUCAAACAAACCAAACAAAAAAUUUGAUAGUAAAAUUAAAAUUUUGAAAGAUUAAGUUAGCGAGCUCACAACUCACUACAACAGAAUUAGGUUAUAACGACACAUGUUUGGGACACUUUUGUAUAAGUGUCACAUUUAUGUCAAAACUUAAAAAAAAUCCAAGGCCUAAAUAUAAAGUCCAAUCCAACUAAAAAUAAAAGGAUAUUCUACUCAACCCACUCCACUUAGCCCAUUCGGUCCGAUUACAAACAGAAAAGAAAAAAAAAGAAAAAGAAAAGAAAAAUCGAUUAUCAUUUUCCCUUCUCCCCUCACUCAAUCGACUGAAAUCCUAGACGAAGAUCAUUUCCUCUCGUCCUCCUCCGCCACCGAAGCCAACGAGGUAGAAUUCCGGCGGUUGCUAGAUACUUAAAUAAAUGUUGGUAAAUUAGCAGCACUCUUUUAGAUUAUAGCAACUCUCUUUAACUGUCACUAUAUACCUAGCGACCCCACAUAUAGCAACACUUUUCAAAAGUGUCGAUAAAUUUAGCCAGCAACACUUUUUUGACUUAUACCGAUAUUUAAAAGUAUCGCUAUAGAUCGUUUUUGUUGUAGUGACUAUUCAUUUUUUUUAAUAUUUUGCAGGGUGAAACUCGAAAGAGUCUUGUCCACCCAAAAAUUACAAUCACAUGGGACUGAAAAAUAUCUUAUUAUCAUUUAUUAUUAUUUAAAUUCCUAUUAUUAUCAAAAGUAAUAAGGGAUAAAGAAGCAAAAGCCUCAAUUAUUUAACCCAACAAUCCGAAAUUCAUAACAAGCUCCAAGUCCGCCUAAAAAGUUCAUCUUAAAAUAAAUUUUAUUUCAAGGAUACACCUCAAUAACUGAUCGGAAACCAAGCGUGGCAACAAUCUUGUAAUCACUGAAUCCUGCCUUAGUGAAUAUUUUGCGCCAUUCCAGCUCGUCUCUCUCACGUCCCCCAGCCUGGAUCAUCAUCCACAUGUCGAUGAAGAGCUGCGCCGCCGUCGACUUCUCUUCGGGGCUCGACCCGAUCACUGGCUCGAUGACAAUAACCUUUCCUCCGGCCUCUCUCGGUGGGAUCGCCUCCUUGCACCGCCGCAAUAUCCUCACGCAAUCCUCGUCGUCCCAGUCAUGCAGAACCCACUGUGAUCAUCAGUUUCUUUGUAUAGUACGGAUGUUUAAUUGUAGAGCGUUCUAAGUGACUAAAAUUGUAAAAUCCAAUAUAAACGUCAUAAGUAACCACCCGAAAUCUCACUCAUGCAUUUCAGACGGAGUUUUGAGUUCCCAAACUUCUCGAAUUAUAUAUAUGUAGUAUUAAUUUUAGGAGGGUUCUUAUAGCUUAGGGCAAGGGACCUAAGAAAGCUUUAAUGAAAACUGUAAGCAUCUAAAUGUAGUUAACAAACAAUGCUCCGUGUCGAUGCCUACGAGCAGAAUCUAAGCUGCUGACUACCUGUAUGUAGUUUGUGUAAAUUUUUAUAACUUUCAUUGUUCAUAUUUUACUUUUAAGAAAUGCUUGAUGUACCAUAAAAUACGUAUCUUAUAAUAUCAUUAAUAUGUUGAAUUGCAUAUAUAGAGAGUUUGGGGUUUAAAAUAUGGGAUGUAAUAAUGGUGCUUAGGUAGUGUUUUGAGGUUUAGUAAUAAUUUUUGGAGUAUAAUAAUGAUGAUAUCAUGUCAUCUUCAAAUAUUAUUGAAAACUCCAAAUGUUAGUAUAUGUAAAAAUACUGUAUAAUUAAAAAUGCAUGAAGUUAAAAGAGAUAAUUGUCUAUGUACCUCUUAAAACUUUGGAAUUAUCUCAUUUAUUCCUUUUUUUUUUUCUUCUUUCCAAUAUAGUCCUCAUAUAUUUCUUUGUUAUUCCAAAAUAUCCCUUCAAUUAUCACCCGUUAAGUUAACUUAGAUUAAACGUGAGUUAAAUAUCUACAACAGUUAAAAAAAAUUAAAAUGUCAUUUUUGCCCUUAACUUAAGGGCAAAUAAGAAAUGUUGGUAAUGGUAGAAGAGUAUAUUUAAAAAGAUUAAAAAAGCAAAAUACUUUUUGUACCCCUAAUUUUAAUAGCAAAUAAGAAAAAUCGAUGAUGGUAGAAAAAUAUAUUUGAAAGGGUAAAAUAGCAAUUUUAUACAGAUAAUAGAGUUUAUUAAUAGAUUUUAACUCUAGGGUUGCGUUUGGUAUCGAGGACAUCUCGGGACAACAUGGGAUAUCCCCGAGUUGUAACCAAACGGUAGAAGAACAGGGAGGAACGGAUUGUUCUGGUUAAAGCGGGUUAUUCUGAGUUGUUCUAGAACAACCUGUUAAAAAUUGUUCCUAGGAUAACUGAGAACAACUUUAUUCUUCUCUUUAUUUUAUUAGAUAAAUAGAUAUAUAAAUAAAUAUAUUAAUAUAGAUAUUAUUUUUAUGAUAAUAUAUUUAUACUUAAAUUUUAUUAUAUAAUAUAAAUUAAUUAAAUUUGAUAUAUUAUUUAUUUUAUUAAGUUUUAUUAUUUAUAUAUUAAUAUUUAAUUUUUUUAUAUUCAGUAUUAUAUGUAUAAUUAUUUUUUCAUGCAUUAUAUAUUUUUUAAAAUUUGUAUUGAAAUUUAUACUAUUAUUAAUUAAAAUUAUAAGAAUAUCUUUACAUAUAUUAUAAAUAAAUUAUAUAAAAUAAAUUAUUAUUAUAUAUAGUAAAAUAAAUAUACUAUUUUAAAUUAAAUUGUUAUAUAAAAUAUUAUAUUAUAAAUUACUAUAAGAAAUAAUUUUAUAAAUAAUUUUAUAUAAAAUAUACUAAUAUAAAUUAAUUAUUUUAUUUUUAAAAAAUAUUUAAACAUUGUUCUACACUUUUUGUCCCAACGCUAAUAAGGAUAUCCUCUAGAAUAUUCCCGAAUGCAUUCAAAUAUAAAUUUAUAAUUGUUCUUUCUAUAAAACUUAGUUCUCUAACCAAACGCACUCUACGGUAUAUUAGAAAUAGAUUGGAACGUAAAACAAAGUAUUUUCAAUAUUAGUCUUGUAAGAGGAGUAAAUUAGAAAGUCAGAAACUUUUCAAAAAUAUAUAAAUAAUUGCCCCUAAUUAAAAAUACAAUAGUUAUAAUUAUAUGCAUUUUAUUUAAUUUAAUAUAGUAGAAUAUUUAUAAUUAGAAAUAAUUUGUUUAGUUACAUACAAUUCGAAUAAUAAUGUUGGUUAACAGUAGCUUAUUCACCUUUAACAUCACGGCAUCCGCCGGAGGAACGCGCUCGAACAUGCUGCCCGCGAUAAAUUCCACGGGCCCGUCUGCCGGCAGUCCCUGGACCACCUGAGGCAGAUCGAGAACCGCACACUUGACGUCCGGAAAUGCCUCCGCUAUGGCGCGGGCGGCAGUGCCGGUCCCCCCACCGACGUCAACCAGCGACCGCAGCCUGCAAAAGACAUGCCCGCAUUUCCUGACGACCACGUCCAUUAUGAACCUCCCGUCCGCCGCCAUGCCCUCGUUGAACGCCGCGUUGAACUCCGGGUUCCGGCUCGUCACGCCCCAGAUAUUGCUUCCGUACAGCGCCUCAAACGGCGUCGCGAUGCCGUCGGUUUCUUUAAACCAGUCGCCUAAGCGCAGCGACGGCGCCAUCAGCACCGGGUCGAACAUCGAGCGCACAAACGGCGCGAGGCUGCGGCGGCCUCCGGCUUCGUCGACGAGCAGGCGGGACGUCGGCGUGAGGCCGUACAAAUCCUCCUCCUCCCCGCCGGCGGCGUCUUCCGACGUCUGCCUCGUGAAGAUGCGGGAGAAAGCGAGCAUGCGCAUGAGGCGGCGGAGCUGCGGAAGUCUGGCGGCUGGGAGAUCGAGCGCGGCGACGAGGUCGGGGACGGAGGUGGGGCCGCCGUGGCGGUGGAUGGCGUCGGGUAUGCCGAGCUCGACGGCGCACUUGAGCGACAUGGAUUUGAGGAAGACGAACAGGUGGUUCCAUAAGUCGGAUUGAGCCGCGAUGAGUAGAUCGUCGUCCCAGUACUGCUCCAUGAUUUGUUGCUCCAACAAUAUAUUCUACUCGUCGGUGUUUCUUAAUUAAAUAUAUAAGUAUGAAAUAUAGUUCUUUACCAUUUUUUUAUAUUAUUAGCUAGUGUGUGGCCGGGAAUAGAGGGGAGGAUAAGGGCUCCCUCAAACACCAAUUUAGGGGGUGCCCACCCCAAAAGAGUUAUGCAGGAUAAUUAUUGAUUACUGCAUUUCUGGAAUGACUAGGUAUAAUUUAAAGAGAAUCAAGAUAUUAUUUUUUAUACUUAAUUUACAACAACACUUACAAAUACUGUAAACAUUUUUUUGUUUCCAAUUUUUUUUCUUCAUUAUUGAAGAAAAAAUUGUGGUGUUGUCGGAAUCAUCUUUUUUGAAAGAUAUUUUUAUUGUGAUCACGUCCUCCGAAAACGUGCCUUUUGGGAUCAACAGAUGAGAAGAAUUUCAGUAAGAAAUUUAACAUAGAGUCAGAGAUUGUUACAAUACUAAACAGAUUUCAAAAAAUAAUUUUAACAUUGUUGGUUGUAUGGAACAUCCAGAUGAAUACUAAUUAAAGAUAUUAUACUUAAAAAUUUUUAUUAUAAUGUAUAUAAAAAUAUUCUAAUGAAUAUUUUGACUGUAUUUUUUUAAUUAUAAUUUCUUCAAUCUUUAAUUCUUAAAAUUUUAUAUAAUAAUUAAUUAAAAUAAUAUUUAUUUGCAGCAAAACGCAAGUCUAAUACUAGUCCACUUUAAAGGGUGUAUAUGGUACGAUAGAAAAAGGAUCGAUUGUGCUGGCAAGGAUAAAGACAUGAAAAAAAAGAUCGUAGGAGAGCUCUGUAUCCAAUCCCUUCUCUUUGGGCCAUCUUUUCUUAUGCAUGCAUCGCGCGUUCAUCUUUCCUUUCUUCCAAGCAAGCCGCCUAUAGAAGGAUUAAUCUGCUGUGCUUUUUGGCUUUCGUUGAUUAUUAUACCGGAGAGUGAUGUUCCCGGGCAAGCCAUUAAUUAUUUAAUUAGUUAAUCAAUUAUAAAAAUAAAUCAAUUAUUAUGUAAAUACUUAUUAAUUUAAUUAUUUAAUAAUUAAUUAGCUAAUUAUUUAAAAAUUUUAAUUAUAUUAAUUAAUAAUAUUUUAUAAUGAUUUAUAAUUUAAUUAGUACAUAAAUAAGAUAGAGGAUAAUUUAUUCUAUUUAAUAGGCGAAACUACUAUUUUUCUCUCUUACCAGGUGAUUUCAAAAUAAUCCAUUAAGGCUGCGUUUGGUUACAGGAUUUAAUAGGAAUAACACAUUUUAUUCUUGCAAUUCUGCCAAGCAUAAGUAAAAUUGGAAGGGAUAUUUACACUACUACAGGUACAAGAUUUAGUGGCGACAAAUGUUGCCAUCAUAGCCAAAAUUGUCGCUACGAAAAACGUUUUGGCGGCGACAAUUUGUCGCCGCAUGCCGCUGCCUAAAAUUCCGUCGGUAAAACUAUUUGGUGGCGACAUAUAGUCACCGCGAAAAGUUAGAUAAUUAGCGGCGACAUACUGUCGCCGUCAAAACUUUAAAUAAUUAAUUUUAUGUCUACUUUUAUGGUGGCGACUAUUGUCGCCACCAAUUUUUUGAUCUAAAAUUAAUUUUUUUAAAAAAAUAAUUAGUAGUAAUAGAUAUUAUUAAUUUACUAUAAAAAUUUUAAUUGCUCUCAUUCUUAACUUUUAACCUUUAAUUUCAAUUUAAUCCUCUCAAAACCAAAUUAAAUCCAAGCACAUGGCUCAAACACCUUAGAACCAAUAUAUAUUAAAUCUAGUUGAAUCUCUAUAAAGUAUUUGAUCAUAAAAUUAAUCCACACAAAUAAGUAAGACUGAAUCAAAUUUUAAAUAUUAAGAAGAGUACAAAUAAUCAUAUAAGGCAAAUAAGUAACUUAAAUUGUCUCACAAGAACCAUAUUAGAGUAUCAUUGUCAUCUUAUACAAUCACCCAACACAUCCACAAAAUAAAAAACAAUAAUAGUGUUUUUGUCAUUUCUACAUGCUAUCAAAUAUAAAUUUAUCAAAAUAUGUCUAAAUUCUUAAAUUUGAUUCAAUACGUCACGAAAAUACUGCCAAAAUAUUUCUCGUCACACCUCUUAUAAAUCUGCAAAUAAAAAUAAAAAAAAAUUAGCUUUUCAACAUUUGUUGAUCCCUAAAUUGAUGACGGAAAUAAUAUAAGAAUAAAAAGACCAAGUACAUAGAUAACAAUGUCGGCUAUGAAUAAUAUAACAGACAGAAACCAACAUUAAUUCAAUUCACGUAUCCAUGUAUAACUACAAUGGUUAAACAUGUCAGGCAAUAUGGCAUCAAUGAUUCCAGAAGGCAACAACAAAAAAAAUAAGCUUAUCAGGAUGUAGACAAUAUGCUUACCAGGAUGUAGACAUCUCGGCCCUGCAUAAAAAAUACAAGAACAAUUAUGAUAUAAAAAGACGAAAAGGGUUCAUUUCAAACGAUCAAAUAAUUGAGGGGUCCUCAGCAUUUUCAAUCUCCAUAUCAAUUAUGUAUUCUCCAGAGAAAAAAUAACUGUUCAUCUAUAAGCAUAACAUUUCUAAAUGUAACGAGGAAAAAGAAAUUCAUAGGAGGGCACAGAUGUCAAUCAAAAGGCAACAAAGAAAACAUUCCAAAGGCCAGCAAAUUCAACGACUAUAAUAUCAAUGCUUUUACUAGAAUAGAUGUCAGACAUCUUACGUUCAAAAUAACAUCCAGUUGUAAAGAUUACAAUUACAAUAUUAUUUUCACGGGCUUUAAAAACAAAAGCUAUCAUUCUUUGAGUAAAAUACAAACUUGCCAAAACUUCUAUUGGUACAUAUCAUAAUCACUAGCGACGCCAGAUCCAGAUCAUAAAUACAAUCAAAUCAAACUGUAGCAGAAGGUGGACAAGUGGGUAGUUUGGGUUGGGAACUAAAAAAGGGGGUUGGCUCAUGAUUCUAGUUUGAAGAAACUAGGUAGGAAAAGAUAAACAACAGAGUAAUAAGCUUAAGCACAAGGUAAACCUUUUAACAACCAUAGGAUUACACCUAUCACAAUAUCGACAACUGCAUAAAUGCACUGGGUUUCACCUAUCUCGAUAUUGACAACUGCAUUAAUGUUUGUAAACCAAAACUAAUGCACGAAGGGAUUGAAUGAGGCAGACAAGAUAAACAGUCAAUAAUUGCUGAACAUGGAAGUUCCAUUCAAAUAACUGUAAAACAGAAAUAAUUGCUGAACAUGGAAGUUCGAUAAUUGCUUAGUGCAGUAUAAAUCAACUUAGUCUACAAUGCAAACUCAACAUUAGAGGAAAGAACCGAUGAAAGUUCCGAUAGAUCAGCUACCUCAAUAGAACUGUCCGUGUCUGGAGAAGGAAGAGGAGGAAGAGGAGGAAGAAGAAGAAGGGUAAAUACGUCAAUUCACACUAUAAUUAACCAUGGUUAAGUAUUUUAACCGUGGUUAACGAAAAUUUUCUACCAGAUCUGGACGGCAGGGACAUAUCUGCAUAACUUAGGACUUUUGUAGAGACAACUUAUGGAGUUUCCGUUUUGCAGAAAUAUUUUCACAAUUCACUAUGUUUGUAGGGACGUGUAUACAAAUAACCCUAUUAUUAAUAGUAGUAAAAGGUAAAUAAACAAAAGUCCAUACUAUUUUAUCCAACAAUCACAAUUCAUAACAAGCUCCAAGUCCAACUAAAAGUUCACCUCGAAAGAAAUUUCAUUUUAAGGAAACACUUCAAUAACUGAUCGAAGUCCAAGCGUGGCAGCAAUCUUAUAAUCACUGAACCCCGCCUCAGUGAAUAUUUUGCACCAUUCCUGCUCAUCUCUCUCGCGUCCCCCGGUCAGGAUCAUCAUCCACACGUCGAAGAAGUGCUGCAUCUCCGUCGACUUCUCUUCCGGGCUCGACCCUAUCACCUGCUCCACGACGAUCACCUUCCCUCCGGCCUCUCUCGAUGGGAUCGCCUCCUUGCACUUCUGCAGUAUCCUCACGCAAACUUCAUCGUCCCAGUCAUGCAGAAUCCACUGUGAUCAUCAGUUUAUUUUGUGAAGUGCCAACAACUUAACUAUAUAUAGAGUGUUCUAAUUAACCAAAAUUGUAAAAUCCAAUAUAAACAUAUAUCCUAAGUAACCACCAUUUAGAGUAGCUAGUUGUUACUCUGAAGACUGUACUUAAAGUCGAUUAGGAGGCUCGAAAUUUCACUCAUGCGUAUCAAACAAAAGAGCUUUGAGUUCCCAACUUCUCGGAUUACAAGUAGUAUUAAUUUUGCAGUAGUUUGGUAGUGGAAAGAAAGCAGGAGCGGAAUUUUAUUUUGACCUUCAACAUCACAGCAUCCGCCGGAGGAACGCGCUCGACCAUGCUGCCCGCGACAAAGUCAACGGGCCCGUCGAUGGUUCCUAGGGGAACUGAGAACAACGGGCCCGUCGAUGGUUCUGAAACAAUCUGUUAAAAAUUGUUCUAAGGAAACUGAGAACAACUUUGUUCUUCUCUUUAUUUUACUAGAUAAAUAGAUAUAUAAAUAAAUAUAUUAAUAUAAAUAUUAUUUUUAUGAUAAUAUAUUUAUACUUAAAUUUUAUUAUAUAAUAUAAAUUAAUUAAAUUUGAUAUAUUAUUUAUUUUAUUAUGUUUUAUUAUUUAUAUAUUAAUAUUUAAUUAUUUUUUUAUAUUCAGUAUUAUAUAUAUAAUUAUUUUUUCAUGCAUUAUAUAUUUUUUAAAAUUUGUAUUGAAAUUUAUACUAUUAUUAAUUAAAAUUAUAAGAAUAUCUCUACAUAUAUUAUAAAUAAAUUAUAUAAAAUAAAUUGUUAUUAUAUAUAGUAAAAUAAAUAUACUAUUUUAAAUUAAAUUGUUACAUAAAAUAUUAUAUUAUAAAUUACUAUAAGAAAUAAUUUAUAAAUAAUUUUAUAUAAAAUAUACUAAUAUAAAUUAAUUAUUUUAUUUUUAAAAAAUAUUUAAACAUUGUUCUACACUUUUUAUCCAAACGCUAAUAAGGAUAUUCUCUAGAAUAUUUCCGAAUGCAUUCAAAUAUAAAUUUAUAAUUGUUCUUUCUCCAAAACUUAGUUCUCUAACCAAACGCACUCUUAGGAGUAUAUUAGAAAUAGAUUGGAACGUAAAAAAAAGUAUUUUCAAUAUUAGUCUUGUAAGAGGACUAAAUCAGAAAGUCAGAAAUUUUUCAGAAAUAUAUAGAUAAUUGCCGCUAAUUAAAAAUACAAUAGUUAUAAUUAUAUGCAUUUUAUUUGAUUUGAUAUAGUAGAAUAGUUAUAAUUAGAAAUAAUUUGUUUAGUUACAUACAAUUCAAAUAAUAAUGUUGGUUAACAGCAGCUUAUUCACCUUUAACAUCACGGCAUCCGCCGGAGGAACGCGCUCGAACAUGCUGCCCGCGAUAAAUUCCACGGGCCCGUCUGCCGGCAGUCCCUGGACCACCUGAGGCAGAUCGAGAACCACACACUUGACGUCCGGAAAUGCCUCUACUAUGGUGCGGGCGGCAGCGCCGGUCCCCCCACCGACGUCAACCAGUGACCGCAGCCCGCAAAAGACAUGCCCGCAUUUCCUGACGACCACGUCCAUUAUGAACCUCCCGUCCGCCGCCAUGCCCUCGUUGAACGCCGCGUUGAACUCCGGGUUCCGGCUCGUCAAGCCCCAGAUAUUGCUUCCGUACAGCGCCUCAAAUGGCGUCGCGAUGCCGUCGGCUUCUUUAAACCAGUCGCCUAAGCGCAGCGACGGCGCCAUCAUCACCGGGUCGAACAUCGAGCGCACAAACGGCGCGAGGCUGCGGCGGCCUCCGGCGUCGUCGACGAGCAGGCGGGACGUCGGCGUGAGGCCGUACAAAUCCUCCUCCUCCCCGCCGGCGGCGGCUUCCGACGUCUGCCUCGUGAAGAUGCAGGAGAAAGCGAGCAUGCGCAUGAGGCGGCGGAGCUGCGGAAGUCUGGCGGCUGGGAGGUUGAGCGCGGCGACGAGGUCGGGGACGGAGGUGGGGCCGCCGUGGCGGUGGAUGGCGUCGGGUAUGCCGAGCUCGACGGCGCACUUGAGCGACAUGGAUUUGAGGAAGACGAACAGGUGGUUCCAUAAGUCGGAUUGAGCCGCGAUGAGUAGAUCGUCGUCCCAGUACUGCUCCAUGAUUUGUUGCUCCAACAAUAUAUUCUACUCGUCGGUGUUUCUUAAUUAAAUAUAUAAGUAUGAAAUAUAGUUCUUUACCAUUUUUUUAUAUUAUUAGCUAGUGUGUAGCUGGGGAUAGAGGGGAGGAUAAGGGCUCCCUCAAACACCAAUUUAGGGAGUGCCCACCCGAAAAGAGUUAUGCAGGAUAAUUAUUGAUUACUGCAUUUCUGGAAUGACUAGGUAUAAUUUAAAGAGAAUCAAGAUAUUAUUUUUUAUACUUAAUUUACAACAACACUUACAAAUACUGUAAACAUUUUUUUGUUUCCAAUUUUUUUUCUUCAUUAUUGAAGAAAAAAUUGUGGUGUUGUCGGAAUCAUCUUUUUUGAAAGAUAUUUUUAUUGUGAUCACGUCCUCCGAAAACGUGCCUUUUGGGAUCAACAGAUGAGAAGAAUUCCAGUAAGAAAUUUAACAUAGAGUCAGAGAUUGUUACAAUACUAAACAGAUUUCAAAAAAUAAUUUUAACAUUGUUGGUUGUAUGGAACAUCCAGAUGAACACUAAUUAAAGAUAUUAUACUUAAAAAUUUUUAUUAUAAUGUAUAUAAAAAUAUUCUAAUGAAUAUUUUGACUGUAUUUUUUUAAUUAUAAUUUCUUCAAUCUUUAAUUCUUAAAAUUUUAUAUAAUAAUUAAUUAAAAUAAUAUUUAUUUGCAGCAAAACGCAAGUCUAAUACUAGUCCACUUUAAAGGGUGUAUAUGGUACGAUAGAAAAAGGAUCGAUUGUGCUGGCAAGGAUAAAGACAUGAAAAAAAAGAUCGUAGGAGAGCUCUGUAUCCAAUCCCUUCUCUUUGGGCCAUCUUUUCUUAUGCAUGCAUCGCGCGUUCAUCUUUCCUUUCUUCCAAGCAAGCCGCCUAUAGAAGGAUUAAUCUGCUGUGCUUUUUGGCUUUCGUUGAUUAUUAUACUGGAUAGUGAUGUUCCCGGGCAAGCCAUUAAUUAUUUAAUUAGUUACUCAAUUAUAAAAAUAAAUUAAUUAUUAAGUAAAUACUUAUUAAUUUAAUUAUUUAAUAAUUAAUUAGUUAAUUAUUUAAAAAUUUUAAUUAUAUUAAUUAAUAAUAUUUUAUAAUGAUUUAUAACUUAAUUAGUAUAGGAAUAAGAUAGAGGAUAAUUUAUUCUAUUUAAUAGGCGGAACUACUAUUUUUCUCUCUUAUCAGGUGAUUUCAAAAUAAUCCAUUAAGGCUGCGUUUGGUUACAAGAUUUAAUAGGAAUAACACAUUUUAUUCUUGCAAUUCUGCCAAACAUAAGUAAAAUUAGAAGGAAUAUUUAAUUCCAGUCAAAGCGAGUUAUUCUAGAUAAUUCUACAAUAAUCCGUUAACAACUAUUCAUCUCCAACAGUGGAAUAGCUGUGUCCUUCAAUUUAUACCCAAAGCAGUAAAUGCAAAAGGUGCCUCGUUGUUUGAGCUCACUUGCCCUACUCUAUACUCAGCCAAAUGCCUCUUUAGUUAAAACUUUUUACAAUUUUUUAUAUUAUUGUGUAUACAAUUUUUGGUCAGCUAUAUCUAAGGUAAAAAUAUUUUAUAAUUAAUUAUUAAAAUAUUUGAUUAGCUAUAUCUAAGGUAAAAAUAUUUUAUAAUUAAUUAUUAAAAUAUUUUAUAAAUAAUACGAAUAUUAAAAUAUUAAAUAUAAUUUUCUUUCACCAAAAUAUUUUAUUGCAUAUAUUAUAUUUUAUAUGAAGUAUUGUUCAUUUUAUUAAAUAUUACAUAUAAAAGAGGCACACACAAGGGCAAUAUUGACAUUUUAGAAAAAUUCAAUCUACUUUUACUAUUUUUCUCUAUUAUUCCUAAGCAAUUUUCCAAACAUAAAUUUUCUUAUUCUUCUGAAAAAGAGAAUUUCAUACCAAAUAUAAAAUUCAUUUUAUUCUUCUGUAUCCUAGAAUACACCUUAAAUCCAAGAAUAAAAAUAUUUAUACUUCUAAAUAUUAUUCCAUUACCAAACACAGCUAAGGAUAGUAAUUCUUAUUCUCUCUUUAUCUCUAGAACCUAACAUGACCUUGAUGAAUGCUUUAAAACUCGGGAACCGGUUCGUAUCAAAUAAGAUGUUGUAUCAUGGCUCAACUUAUUCAACGAAUAGUUUGAUUGAUCGGUCGAACCAGUGAUGUCAGCAUGAUAUCACAUACAAUAAGUUAUUAAUUUUUUGUGUAAAGUAAUAAAGUUAAAGAAGAUAAAUAAAUAUAAGGUAAGUUGCUCGUUUGGUUAUCAAACUUUGAGAUUGGUAACAUUUUGAUGGUCCUCAAAUUUUAAUUUGUUAUAAUUUAGUUUUGAAUUUUUAAAAAUAUUGCAAUCAAGUCUAUAAUCCAAUAUAGGUGAUUAAAUACUGUUGUAUUUCUAAUCUCUACAAAUUCUUGGAUGAGGAUUUAUAGAGAUAACCCUUUUUGGAUUUUUUUUGGGUAAACUUCAAAUACCACCCCUGUGGUAAAAUUGUCAAAAAUAUCCGAUAUACCAUAUCCGAUCCGGACCAAAAUCGGAUCCUAUCUGGACCUGAACCAGACCCGAUAAAAAAUGAAUAGUAUACGAAUAAAAAAAAUUAUCCAUUAACAUUUUGGAUAUGGGUCCAGAUAUGUUAUACUUAUAUCCGUUUUGGAUCCGAACGAACCCAACUUUUAAAUGGGUAAAGUCUGAAAUAGUUUUUAAAUCCGGACUCAAACCAGGACCCAUUGAAAUGUCCGAUAGUAAAUGAAAAAGAUUUGAAUUUUUGAGAGAUUAUUAGAAUGAGGGGUCUCUAAGUAUUUUCAUUAUAAUGAAACACUAAAACUUUAGCCGCUCUUUUACUCUAUUUUUUUUUCACUUUUUUUACUUUUUAUUUUUUUGUUCCAUUUCCGCCUAAGAGUUUUUUAUGAAACAAUAUUUUUAUCGUCGUCAUUAUCAGCGAUAUUACCUACCGGCGUGGCACGAGUUAGUUUUUUUCUAAAUUCCUUCUCCAAUUAAUCACAGUCGGCAACCUAGUUUUUUUAAUGAAUAUUCUAUUUAGUAAUAAUUUUCUAAUUUCCCUUUUUUUUUGAAUGUUAGUGUAUAAUAUUAGUAAUUACUACGACUUAUAUUCUAUUUAUAAAUAAUAUAGUAUCAUAAUUUUUUUAUUUUUGUGUGUUUACAUAUGAAAUUGUUUUCAAUUUUAGGCUUUUAAUCAAUUAAUGUAAUGGCUGAAACACGUUCUGUCCGUACUUGGUCUUGAAUGGAUAGUAUAUGAGUAAUCACUAUUCAGACCCGUUCAAAUAGAUCCGAUGGGUAUAUUAGUAACUUAAGUACCUAGGUCCUGACCCGACCCGAAGUUAAAUGGGUAGAUUUUUUUUUUCUGACCAUUUCUUUUUAGGGUACGGAUAUAGUAUAUCAACUAUCUAGAUUUGACCCGAUCAACAGACAUCUUUACCCUGUGGUUUCGCACUUUCUCACUUUAGUACCAUGUGAUUUAAAAUGUAUCAAUUUAGUAUCUUAUAAUUUCUUUCUUUUUUUUCGUCAGCUCUUUUAACAUUUCUUUAAAUUAUAUACAAAAAACUUCAGCUACCCACUUAAAUUUAUCGAAUAUUCACUUUAGUAUCUUUUAGUUUUAAUUUUGUCACUAUUUAAUGAAAAAAAUUAGUGAAAAGAAUAAUAAAAAAAGAGAAAUAAAAUUAUGAGAUAUUAAAUUGAUAUAUUUUACAUCAUAGGAUACCAAAAUUAAAAAAAAGGGAAAUCAGAGGAGUGGUAUUUGAAGUUUUCUUUUUUUUUCUUUUUUUUUUUACGUGACCUGUAGCUAGGUUUGGCCCUAGAUAAGAGACCUCCGAAUUACACCCCAUGGUACACACUAGCUAAGUGUAACCUCUUUUGGCUAAAAAUAUUAUUUUUAUAUUAUAAAAAUUUAAAACUAAUUAAAAAAAUAUUUUUUUUUCUUAUUUUUUACUAUAAAAUUGAAGCUGCAUUUGCAAGCAUAAUUAAAAUUGGUAAGAAAUAAUUGUAAAUACUUUAAAAUUUUUAAAAUAUUUUAUAACAUAAGAAUAAUAUUUUUAACCAAUUUAUUAUCAAACAAGAUCUUUGUCUUCUCUUUUGAAAACAUUCUACUUGUACAUUUCAAAAGAGACGUAAAUUUUACACCCUUCCGUCUUUAAGUUCAUAAGAAUUUAAAUAAUUUAAAAUAAAAAUAAAUAAAAAUUAAUGUAAAAUUAAUAUGAUAAAUAAUCGCCGGUAGUUGUUGAAUAAAAAGAGCGUCAAAUAUACAACUCACUUUGAAAUAUAAUACAAUAGCAUUGCUCCUCUUGCUUGUAGUUGAGUCUUGCUUGUAGUUUAGUUUUUGUUUGUUUCUUAAUUUAUGCUGUUUUUUGUUUUCUUCUUCUAUUUCGUUGUCUAUAUCCGAAAACAAAAGUGUCGUGGAUUACAAGUUGACAAUCAUGUUUGUGCACAGUUUUGAGUGGAUAGAGCAAAUGGCAAAAAAAAGGUUAAUGCUUUGGGGCCAAAGUAAGGAUUAGAAUCUUUAUGCACCUUUCAUGCAUUUUCAUAUUUAUAUAAGUUUAAAAAUUUAUGGUAAAAAUAUAUAAAAAAAUUAGACGAUCUGAUGAAUCGUAUUCAUAUGAAAAAUGUUAAAUUUUCUUUUUAUAGAUAAAACUAUAUAAAACCAAUAAUAUUCGUUUUUUUCUCGUAAAUUUUGUAGUAUGAACAUAUAAUUAUAUAUACCGACCGUUCCUAGAGCAAGUGGCAAAGAACUUGGUGGUUGGUAUCCGAGAUCCCAAGUUCGAAUCCUAGUUGAUUUAUAUUUCCAGCUAAAUUUAUUUCUAAAUGAAAUAAACGAAGCGGAUAGCGUGCUACCUAUCUCUCAAAAAAAAAAACAUAUAAUUAUAUAUGCACCCUAGAUAUUCAUUCUUAAUCUUUUUCUUUUCUUAAUUGAAAGCCCUUGAUUACAAACUUUUAAAUUAAAUUAUUCUAGUUAUUUCAGAUAUAUUAUUUUAUUUAGGGUGAGAAAACAAUUUUUGUUAAUCAUUUAUGUAUCAGAUAUAAGCGCUACUAGCCAAGUAAGCAAGAUAUGAUUGGUAUACAGAUUAAUUGAUCAAUUUAUUGGUACAGCAAAUAUUAUUCUAUUUUGUGUAAUAAAACAAAUUACAAAGUAUUUUUAAAGUACAGCUGUCCACUUCUGGGCAAGUGGAUAAGGAGGAAUUCUACACUGUCACAUUUGUACUACGUCAUCAAUAACAAGUCAAUCACAUUUUUUUUUUUCAAAUAAAAGUACAAUAAAAAUAUUUUUUGACAAUCAUGAUGGGACAUAUUCAUAAAAGGAGAUAUUUAAUUGGUUUGUUACGCCACGUUACCAAUAUACGCGUUACAUUCUAAAAUUUUUCGUGGAUAAGGGACUUUGGAUUCGGUACUAGCGGCGUACCCGCGCUUUGCUGCGGGUACGAUGGAUAUAUUUUUAAUUAUAUUUAUAAAAUAUAGUAUAUAUUUUUGUUAAAUAUAUAUAGUAAAUAUAUAUUUAUAUCAACAUUUGAUUUCAAAAUAUAAAAUUUUCUGAAGCAAAAAAAAAGUAAGUUUAUAAUAUGCUUAUUUUUUUAGGCCAGUUCGCCUAAAAGAUACAAAUCCUGUUUUUAUAUUUUGUGGCUUUUUAUUCUUCUAACUCUAUUUAGAUCAUUUUUGUUGAUUAAUAUAAGCAAUGUCAAGAAUUGAAAAUAUUAUGAUAAAAUAAAAGGUAGUUAUUUGAUUCAUAAUUUUUUAAUUGAUUGAUUUUAUGAUAUUUUUCUAGAAUUUAUAAAAAUAUAUUUAAUUUUGUAAAAAAUUCCUAACUUUCGAAAAAUUGAGUACCAAAUAGUUCUCAAAAGUCUAUAAACGUUGGAGAAAUUAAAUAUAAUGUUUUCAAAAUUAAGACGUACAAUACAUAAUUGAAAAAAGUGGGGGGUUCUCUAAUUGGUUUAAUAGUUGAUAGGCAAUAAAGCUAUUAAAUCUAACAAAAUUUUAAACCAAUUUAGAAUAUAUAUUUUAUCAACAAAAAAAAAGAACAUAUACAGUUAUGUUCAAAUACCCUUAAAAUCAUAUCUUUCAAAUGCAAAAUUAAAAACUCAAUGCGUUAGUAGUAAUGGAGGAAGAUAUGGUGGUUGACCUCGACAAAUCGGGCUGGAGCCUCAUCUCAGCAUCUUCAUUGGCUGCGGCAACGACGAUGGCUUCGAAAGAAGUGCAGCAGUGCGCUACAGCGUGGCGCUAUUGCUGCGAUUCACUUCGCUUUGGACUCUUCGAAGUUGCAGUUGAUUGGAUUGACACCUAUAAAAAUCUAAAUCGGAGGUGUCGAUGUAUCAGGUCGACAAAGAGCGAAAAAAGGAGAGGUGCCAGUUGCUAGGAUGUGGCGUGGGGAAAGGGUGUCAAUCAAAGUGAUGGCCAGAGAGGUAAGAAAGUAGAAGGGGACAAUAUUGCCUGAACCUGACAUAUGUCACAUAUCCCUCCACACAUGCAUUAUAUUUAAAAUUUUUGUAACCAAUCUAUAAUACAUUGGGUCCAAGUAAUAUUUAAAUAUUUAAACGCAUACAUGUGUCAACAAAAAAAACCACCUCCAUAGGCUCUAGUAUAUAGUAAUAGAUGGUAUAGGGGCUUAGGGGUUUGGAGCCUAUAAGCAUGCUAAAAAAAUCAAAAAAAAAAGGAAAAAAAAGAUGGUGCAUAGCAAACCCUCUGCCAUAAAUUAAAAAAAAAAGAUUUUUUGCUUAUUUAUUCUUAAUAGUAUUCAAAGAUUUUAAACUUAUUCUAAAAUUAUCAAAGAUAUUUUUCUAAAACUAAAUCCUACUAGUAAAUCCGGAAAAAAAAAAAAACAAGAAUAUUUGAAGGAAGAGAGUGGGUGAGAGGUCCACAAGGAUUCUGUGCUUGCGGCAUUGCGGUGAGCUGCAUAAUUUGUUUCUUGAGUUUUCAUUUUCCGACGAAAAUCGGCAAAAAAUGAAAAUACCUUUCCUUCUAAAAAAAUAAGUUUUUGAAAAAAAAUUUACGUCUCAAUUAACAAUAAAAUUAAAAAUAAUAUUUUAAACCAAAAAAUAAUUUUUUGUAUAUUUUAGAACAAUCCAAACAUAGCCUAAAGUUCUAAUUUUUAGGCUAAUAUGACCUUAUAUGAAUAAUGUUUGUUGGCUUAAAUGGGCCAGUAUCCUGCCCUGUGGCGAGAGGUCAUGUGGGUCUAGUCAUGUUCGAAAUGGCAUGAGGCUGGGUUGGGCCGAGUCAUGUUCGAAGUGGCGUGAGGUUAGGUUGGCCGAGUCACAAUCGAGACCCGUGGGCACUGUUUCUGUACGCUUUAAGUGAAUUGGUUGUGUAUUUCUAACAGCUCGAGCUUUUGGGAUUAAUGGUUAGCGCCAACGAUCCGACAAUGUUAAGGCCACGAAGACCCAUAAGACUUUCACGUUAGACAUAGAAAUGAAAAAACAAAAAAAGGGUUUUUUUUGCAUUUAGCCCCCUAACAAAUUUUUAUUUUAAAAAUAACCCUGUCAAAAUUUAAUUUACAAAAAUGACACUGAACCUGCCACGCAGGCGCCACGUCAGCCCCACGCGGGCGGGGCCAGGGCCAAUGUAUUAAGUUAAAUACGGUGAACCAUUCACCGUGUUUAGACACGGUGAAUGGUUCACCGUGUUUAACUUAACACAUUGGCCCUGGUCCCGUCCGCAUGGCGCUGACGUGGCGCCUGCGUGGCAAACGCACGGCCAUUUUUGGAAAUUAAAUUUUAAGAAGACUAUUUUUAAAAUAAAAAUUUGCCGGAAGGCUAUACGCAAAAAAAGUUCCAAAAAAAACACACACACACAUACAAAAGGAGGCCACAGCUAUUAAUUUUUGUAUUUUUUCACAAGGUGAAACUCAAAGAAGUCUUAUCCACUCAACAAUCACAUUCAGGUGACACUCAAAAACAUCUUAUUAUUCUUUAACCCCUAUUAUUAUUAAGGGUUAUUUGUAUACACGUUCCUGCAAAUAUAGUGAAUUGCGAAAAUAUUCCUGCAAAACGGAAACUCCAUAAGUUGUCUCUGCAAAAGUCCGAAGUUAUGCAGAUAUGUCCCUUCGGUUAACAUCCGUUAGUGAUCUAUUUAUUUUUUAACAGUGGAUUCGUGAAAUGACCAUUUUACCCUCACAAAUAUAUCCUCAAAAAUGUUUUCCUCUUCCCUUCUCUUUCCUCUUCUUCCUCUUCCGGACCGUCAAAGCGGACGCGAGUGGUGCUGCUUGUGCCACGCGACGGCGGCGCGGGGACAUCGGGUUUCGCCGGCGACGAAGAAGAGGGAAGAACGCCGGGGGCACGGAGCCUACUACCGAGAGCUCGUCUCCCUCAACGCCGUCCCCUCCCUUACUCGUCGGCUCUCCUCGGCCCCACGACAUCGCCGACAUCCAGUGUCAACAUCGUCUCCCUCCUCACCGACACUCUACCGACGCCGGGACGUCGCUCGGCGACCACGGACGACCCCGCGCACGCCCUCGUCCCAGCCUCGUCGAAAACAACGCCCUCGAGCUUUCCGUCCAGAAACUCACAACGCCUUUCCGAGGCGACCCCCGACGGAGGUUCUUCUCCCUCGCUGGUGACGAAGAAGAUGGAAGAGAAGAGGAAGAAGGAAGAAAAGAAAAAGGGAAAAGCAGGAAGAGGGAAGAGGAAAAGUAGAGGGUUCGCCACCGUCGCCGCCGUCUGCUUGCGGAUCGUCAUCUCCUCGCCGCGACGAAGAGAAGGAAGAGCGAAGAGCCGAGGAAGAGGAAGAAAGUAAAUAUCGUCAAUUCACACUAUAAUUAACCAUGGUUAAGUAUUUUAACCGUGGUUAACGAAAAUUUUUUAACAGAUCUGGACGGCAGGGACAUAUCUGCAUAACUUAGGACUUUUGUAGGAACAACUUAUAGAGUUUCCGUUUGCAGAAAUAUUUUCGUAAUUCACUAUAUUUGCAGGAACGUGUAUGCAAAUAACUUUAUUAUUAAUAGUAGUAAAAGGUAAAUAAACAAAAGUCCAUACUAUUUUAUCCAACAAUCACAAUUCAUAACAAGCUCCAAGUCCAACUAAAAGUUCACCUCGAAAGAAAUUUCAUUUUAAGGAAACACUUCAAUAACUGAUCGAAGUCCAAGCGUGGCAGCAAUCUUAUAAUCACUGAACCCCGCCUCAGUGAAUAUUUUGCACCAUUCCUGCUCAUCUCUCUCGCGUCCCCCGGUCAGGAUCAUCAUCCACACGUCGAAGAAGUGCUGCAUCUCCGUCGACUUCUCUUCCGGGGUCGACCCUGUCACCUGCUCCACGACGAUCACCUUCCCUCCGGCCUCUCUCGAUGGGAUCGCCUCCUUGCACUUCUGCAGUAUCCUCACGCAAACCUCAUCGUCCCAGUCAUGCAGAAUCCACUGUGAUCAUCAGUUUAUUUUGUGAAGUGCCAACAACUUAACUAUAUAUAGAGUGUUCUAAUUAACCAAAAUUGUAAAAUCCAAUAUAAACAUAUAUCCUAAGUAACCACCAUUUUUAGAGUAGCUAAUUCUUACUCCGAAGACUACACUUAAAGUCGAUUAGGAGGCUCGAAAUUUCACUCAUGCGUAUCAAACAAAAGAGCUUUGAGUUCCCAACUUCUCGGAUUACAAGUAGUAUUAAUUUUGCAGUAGUUUGGUAGUGGAAAGAAAGCAGGAGCGGAAUUUUAUUUUGACCUUCAACAUCACAGCAUCCGCCGGAGGAACGCGCUCGACCAUGCUGCCCGCGACAAAGUCAACGGGCCCGUCCAGCUGUGCAAGCCCUGGACGCACCUGAGCAGAUCAAGACUGACACAUUGACGUGGGCGGAAAUGCUCCGCGCGACUACGCGGGCGGCAAGCGCCGGUCCCCCCGGACCGUCCGACCUAGUCGACCGCGCAGCCCGCGGAAACAUCGCGGCGAUUAUUCUGACGAACUCACGAUUCCAUUAGAACCUCCAGCCGUCGCGCAUCACCCAUCGUUGGAACACCGCUACAGGCGGCGUUGAAAACUCCGGUUUGCCGUCAAGACGCCCCCAGCAUAACGCUCCGUGUACCAGGGCCGUCGCACCGGGGCGUCGACGCGCCGUCAGCUGCUUAAAAGUCCCUCGUGCAGGCACGCGGCGUGUGCACCUGGGGAUUCGAGCAUGACGGCACGAACGGCCGAGACUAGCGGCGGCCACCGCGUCGUCGCGGAGCAGGCCGGGAUUCGCGUGAGGCCGUACAAUGCGCUCCCCGGUCAGGCGGCUAAUCCGAACCCAUCUGCCUCGUGCAAGAGCGCGCGGAGAAAGCAGCGUGCGAGCGCCUUCCACACCUCUCUUCAACAAUCUCUCAUCUAGACCCCCCUCCCUCUCCCGAAGCGCUCGCCAGUCGCAGCCGCCCCUGCCGCUGUCACCCCCGCUGCCACUACAACAGAAUUAGGUUAUAGAGACACAUGUUUGAAACACUUUUGUGUAAGUGUCCAAUUUAUGCCAAAACUUAAAAAAAAAAUCUACUAAUGCCUAAAUAUAAAGUCCAAUCCAACAAAAAAUAAAAGGUUACUCUAUUCAACCCACUCCACCCAGCCCAUUCGGCCCGAUUACAAACAGAAACGAAAAAAAAAAGAAAAAUCGAUUACCAUUUCCCCUUCUCCUCUCACUCAAUCGACUGAAAUCCUAGACGAAGAUCCCUUCCUCUCAUCCUCCUCCCCCACCGCAGCCAACGAGGUAGAGUUCUGGCGACUGCUAAAUGCUUAAAUAAAUAUUGGUAAAUUAGCAGCACUUUUUUAGGUUAUAAUGACACUCUUUAACUGUCACUAUAUACCUAGCGUCCCCAUAUAUAGCAACACUUUUUAAAAGUAUCGGUAAUUUAGCCAGCAGCACUUUUUUUUACCUGUACCGACAUUUAAAAGUAUCGCUAUAGACCGUUUUUGUUGUAGUCGCCGCUCGUCGUCGCCCCUGCCAAGCCCGCUGCCUCAUUAUAGAGCCUACAUUGUGCUCUCUUCCCUUCCACUAAUUGUGCUUUUCGUUGUCGACGUGUACCGACCUCGCCCUCGCUAACGUGCAAGUAGUUCCUGAACUCUUCUUUUACUUUCUUUGCUGUUUGUUGGCAUUGUUGGCAUUGUGGACACAUCACAUGGCAAUAAGCUAAAAAUAUAAAAAUUAGGCUUUAAAAUUGGGACAUAUUUUACCAAUUGUUAAGCCAUUAGCCAUCAAGUGCGAGAUAUGUUGAGUACAUUGGGAGGGUUUAGUUGGAAAAUAGAUAAGACCCAGAUAAGCUGACAUGUUAUUCCGAUAAUGAAGAUUUGAAUCAUAGUAAUUAUCUUGAGAUUUUGCUUUAUGUUUAGUCAGAGAUUAUGAUAAGACGAUAUCAAACGAUGUCUUAAUUUCUGGUUUUUAAUAUGCCAACUCUUUUCUUCUCUUGGGAGUAGUAGUAAUCAUGUUCAGAUGCAACUUUUUGGUAAAUAUGAGCUCUUUUCUGUCAAAAGUCCUAAUGAAUUGAAACUUAAAAUGUAGAAAAGUUUAUCUGCCGUUCAGCAAUCAAUUGGCGAAGAAUGCAACAAACUUUCCCAAUAAUCUUUAUUGGAUUAUUCUGUGGGAUAGGGAAGCCUCCAUAUAGUCUCUUUCUUUUUUCAUUUAUUAUUUUUUUGUAUUAUAUUUACUAAAUAUUUUGAAAGGAGAUUUGAAAGUUUUUCUAUAUAGUUAAAAUGGUUAGUCGUCGAAUGUCUUUAGUGUUCAUUGGGAUGGACAAUUUGUUACAGAUGGAAAUGGUCCUCAAUAUGUCGGCGGUUGAAAGAAAUUGAUCGCAAUUUAUUCAGAUACGACAUUUACUAAUUUUGAGACGAGAAUAUAUUGUUUAGCAAAUUGUAGUAGAAAAGGAUUUCGUCUCAAAUUCACAAUUUGAUACCCUACGGGAGCAAAUUAAUAUAUAGCUCUCGAAAUAGUAGAUGAUAGAUCAUUGGAGGAAAUGAUUGGAUUGGUUGAACAUUAUGGAUGUGUGUCGGUAUAUAUCGAAAAAGAUUUAUAUCCGUCGAAAACACAAUAUCAAUCUUAAAACUAUUACACAAGACUACUUCAUAAUGAUAUCGAUGUGAUGUUUUUUCGGACAAUCCAAUUGGUGACUGUAAAGUUGGCAAAGAAACAGGCGUCAGAAUGACAAGGUAAGUGAAAUCUCUAGAUUUCAAUGAAUGUUUUCUUUAAUUAUUAAAUACUUUGAUAAUACUAAAUUAUAAAUACUGCAGAUAAAGUCAGUCUCCACAUGCGCAACCCUCAACAUCACAUGUGCAAUCCUCGACCUCACGUGUGCAACGCAUGACCUCACGUGGACAAACCAUGACCUCUUAUGUGGAACCCACGAUAUUCCAUACACUACCGACGAUCUCUUGUGCAGAACCUAUCAUGUCUCAUAUACAAUUGAAACCUUAUGAUUCGGGGUAAAGAAAAUUUUGAUUUUUUUUUUAUUAAUAGCAUGUGAAAAUGUACAUAAUAUAGUAAAGUUUCGGAACCCAUUGCAGGCUAUCUAUGUGCUAUGAACAUUGGAAUAAAGUUCCUACUAAUAUUGUCCAUGAAGGAGGUGAUAAUGAUAGUAAUCAAAAGGAUGCACUCAUUCAUUAUGAUGAUCAUUAUAACAGUAAGGACAACGAUUGGAAUGAUGUAGCUGCAAACAUUGAUGAUGAUCAUGAUGGUGGGUUAAAUUGUCUUGCGAAUGUAAUUUACACUGAAAACGACGACUCACAUGUAAACAACGAAUAUAUAGACAAUCCUGACGAGAAACUUGAUUGUAUUGACCAUCCGGAGCACUUUCCUGUAGAUAACAAUUGGAUAAAUCAAUAUGUUGUGGCUUUGGCUGAGUUCGAUGUUAAACAGACCAAUACCGGUCUACCUAGUAUUGACGGGACUUGGGUUCAUCGAAGCUUUUACGAUAAGGCAUCUUUAGUGGAUGCUCUAGAUCAAUGGCACAUUGCUCAUAAUGUUCAUAUGAAGAUUUUGAAAUCCACAAAACCGUCUUGUACGGUAAAAUACAUGAUUCAAGGAUGUCCUUGGAGAUUACAGCUUCAGUUCCUACAGAUGCAACAUACUUCAGAGUUAAGACAUAUACAGGUCAACACACAUGUGUAAUUCCAAUGCUAAAUGCAGACAUAUGCAGAUCAACACACAUGUGUAAUUCCAAUGCUAAAUGCAUCGCCACUGUAAUUGUACUUCAAGUUUCAUAUGUCAAGAGAUUCUCUCAAUAACGAAGGCAAGACUUAAUAUAACGCUAAAAGAAAUACAGAAAAUGGUGUGAUCCACUUUGCAUGUUGACAUAAACUAUUGGAAGGUAUAGCUAGCAAGGAGCAAAGUAUUACAGAUUAUUUAUGGGAGCUAGGAGCAAUUAUACACAGACUUGCCUCGUUAUCUUACUAUGGUACAGAGAAGUAAUCCUGGUAUUUUAUGGUGCCUUGAUCAUAGAUGACCAUCAGAUAGAAUAUGUCAGUUUGGUCAUAUUUUUUGGUCAUUUGGUCAUUCUAUUUAUAGAUUUGCAUACUGUCAGGCGGUAGUGAGCAUUGAUGGCACUCACUUGUAUGACAAAUAUGAAAGCCAUACAUUGAUAGCGACAGCUAUAGAUGCAAAUGAUAGUAUUUACCCUUUAGCAUUUGCAAUUUGCGAAUAGCAAAAUAGUGAAAGUUGGCGUUGGUUUUUACAGAACUUGCAUCAAUAUGUUACACCCGAUAAGUUUGCUUUAUAUUUGAUUGAUUUAGUGGUUUAAAGAAAAUAGUGGCUGAGAUAUAUCCUCCUCGACAGGGGCAUGCACACCGAUGGUGUCUUCGACACAUGAAAGUAAUUAUGAAUAAGCAUUUUAAAAUGAUUCUAUGCUAUUGGUAGUGCUCCAACAUCAAUAGAAUAUUAUAAGCUUGAAGAAAAGUUACUUGCGUUGGAUCAGGAUGCUUAGAAGUGGAUGGAUGAUCUCGAAGAAUACAAAGAGUAUUGGGCAUGGGCAUUUGAUGGAGGACGACACUUUGGAUUGAUGACAACGAUUAUUUCAGAAAGUUUAAAUGGGGUACUUAUGGUAAUUCAUGCUCUGCCUAUCACAGCUUCUGUCCCGUGAAUAUUUUAUAAACUUAAUAAUUAUUUCUUACAGGGUCGUGAAGAUGGUGACAGUAUGACUGGCACGUUAACUUCUAAAAUACGAAGUCGAAUUAUAAUGAAUAUUGAGACGGCACGGAGACACAUUGUCCAUCAAUUUGGGCUUGUGGAAUUUGAGAUUAAUACUGGAGAUUUCAAAUACAAGGUUUUCCUUAAUGGAACAUGUGUGGAUUGUGAUUGCGGCGAAUUGCAACUAACUAGAAUACUUUGCUCGCAUCUUUUAGUAGUUUGCAGUACUUCACAGAGAAUAAUAGACUUUCAUAAUUUUUGUUCUCGUUGGUAUGGUGUUGAUUGUUAUCGCGAGAGAUACGCACCACAUUUCUAUCCUGUUUCAAAUACACGACACUGGCCCUGGCCCCAGGACUCACCAAUUUUACCGCUUCCCAUGAGAAUGAAGAAAGGUCACCCACGAUCUGCACGUAUUCAUAACAUAAUGGACGAAAGAGAAGGACGACGAACAAAAUAUAGCCUUUGUAAACAAAAAGGCCAUUAUAAGAAUACCUGUCCACAAAAUACACAGAGAGCAUAACAAAGACGUCGACGUAGGACUUAUUACCUAAUAUAAUAACAAUUGCAAAACUUUCAAUAUUUAAUGAGUAUUUUUUAAAUAUUUUAUUAAUUGUAAAAUCUUUAAAAUUAUAGACGGCAAAUCUAGAGGAUGCGGGACCAGUUGAUUCGUUGGUCCCGACAGAGCAGCAUCUCCAUAGGUCUGGAUUUAUUAAGAGUGAGGUGAGAGUAAAAAUUUUAAGUAAAAAUUUAUCAUACUAUUAAUAAAUAGAAAUGAUGAUUUAACUAUUUUUUAACUUUAGGGGUAUCGUGCUAUUCACUGGCCGCAAGUUAAACCAGUGGGAUCUUGACCAUCUAGCAGUACGCGAUAUUGUACUAUAGACCAGAUUCUACUACAUAUCACACCUUAGGCGCUUGCAGCUGGAUCAGGCUUUAUUAGAAGCUACAGUUGAGAGAUGGAGACGGGAGACACAAACUUUUCACUUCCAUCAUGGUGAGAUGAUGAUUACAUUUUAGGAUGUCGCGGUUAUUUUUGAUCUUUGUGUGGAUGGUGAGCCCGUGACUAGUACUAUACAGCACCAGUGGUCAGAUAUUUGUUAGGCGCUUCUAGGAGCUAUGCCGAAUGACAUCAAAGCUGGUCAGAUUAGACUGGAUUGGUUAUACCAGCAUUACCACCACAUACAUUUGGAUGCCUCUGUACGAGUAGUUGCAACUAUAGCACACGCCUACAUGUUAUAUCAAAUUGGGUAUAGUCUGUUUCCCAACCCUACUGGAUAUAGAGUUCAUCUAUAGCUUCCACUUUUAGAGGAUUUUGAUGAGUGUGGCGGAUUAGCAUAGGGGUUCAUCGAGAUUUCGCCGAAUUUUUUGUACUUCGACUUGCUUGCCUAGCCCUCCUGGCUAUCUGGUCAAGUCUUCUUGGAUCUUUUCAUAGACUUUCCUCGCUCUCUUUUCAUCAAGGUCACAACCACCUGUUAUCGUGUGUUGUGCGGAGGCCAACUUCUUCAAAGCGAUUUCUUCGCUUUGGUUUCACUUGAACAUCACCUUCGUCGAUUUGCCACUUGACUUUGACAUAACUAUCUGGUACAUUAAUUCUAUAUUCUUUUCAAAUCUGCAGUCGUCUGGUUUUAUUUUCGGCUCUAAUAACAAUUGUUGGAAGCGUGAUUUGUUUUAAUACCAAUUGUUGGAACUGCUAUUUGUGCUGAUACCGAUUAUAUAAUCCAAAAUUUAAAAUAGAAGAAAAUAAUAUUGAGAAAAGAUAUUGGAGGAGAAAGAAAAAAACUAAAGUAAUACUAUAUUAAUAAAAAGUAAUUAAUGACAUCCUUGGCAACACCCAUUCAACCAUAUCUACUGUGGCUUCUUCAUCUAAUUAACCCAUACCUAAUUAUAUAUAGCCAUCAAAUCAUAACAGAUGAUAAAUCUAACUUUUACUUUGGAUAACUAAUAUCCUACUCUAAUUAUAUAAACUUUUAAAUAUAAUAAAU